rnacentral:piRNA from 1 species
UUGUCUGGUCCCCGUGAUUUUGAUUUC